UACAGAGGGUGCGAGCGUUACUCGGAAUUACUGGGCGUAAAGCGUGCGUAGACGGUUAUUUAAGUCGGGUGUGAAAGCCCCGGGCUCAACCUGGGAAUUGCAUUCGAGACUGAAUAGCUAGGGUACGGUAGAGGGAAGUGGAAUUUACGGUGUAGCAGUGAAAUGCGUAGAUAUCGUAAGGAAGACCAGUGGCGAAGGCGGAUCUCUGGACAGUUACUGACACUGAGGCACGAAGGCCAGGGGAGCAAACGGG
rnacentral:rRNA from 1 species